AUUUAACACAAAAUAAAUGCUCACCCUGGGGACCUCUAUUCCAUAUUGGUGUAAGGAGGGUAGAAAAUUUCCGGGCAACAUGUGCAAAUCAAGGAGAGUAACCUGAAACCAUGGAGGACCAGGAAGUCUGGAAUGGAGCCAGGCAGGGAGACCAAGCUGGAGAUGGGAAGGAAGGGGAAUCACCAGCCCAUGAAAGAACUGACCAUGAAUUGGAAGGAAAAAAUGUAAAUAACAGGCAUUUUUUUAGAAGUAUUUAAUGAUUUUAGUCAGAAAUUAAUUUAUGGGAUAUUGAAUUUCUAUGUCCUGAAAUUUUUGAUGGAUAUAUUUUUCCUCUUAUUUUGCUGUUGUUCUUUUCAGGAGUUUUGCAGAAGUGCUUCCCUGUGUGGCUUCUUUUCCCAUCUUUCUUAUAGAAGAUACACAUGACAUUACCCAGCGCUUCAGCCAGGGUAACUGUGGAGUACAGCUGUGCUGCUGUGCGCGACCUACACUCCAGCCAUUGCUAUCACUCUUCUGUCUUGUGAGACUGAAAAGCUAUGUUCCCUAAAUAACUACUGUCCCCUUGCCCAGCCCCCAGCGACCACCAUCCCACUGUCCGUCUCCAUGAUUUUUGUAAAUUUCUUCUUAGAAGUCAAACCCUGCAGUAUUUCUCGGGACUGGCUUAUUUCACGUAACCUCAUGUUUUCAUGGUUCAUCCAUCUUGAAGCAAAUGUCAGAGUUUUCUUGCUUUUUAAGGAUUAAUACUAUGCAGCUCAGGGGUUAAGUGCCCCUGAGUUCAAGCCCCAGUACCAAAAAAAUUUAAAAAAAUCAAUAUUAUUCCACGUCUGUGCCUCACGUUUUGCCUGUGUCCUCUUCUGUCCGUGGACACCGGGUGCUUCCACACCUUAGCUGGCGUGAACAAUUUGUGGUGAAGCUGGCACAAACGUGUCUUCAGGACCCUGCCUUCCAUUCUUGUGUGCGUGUGCCUGGGAGGGGGUUGCUGACUUUUAAGGAACAGUGGGCUCCCCAUCCAUAGGGGAGGGCAUUUCCAGCCCCUCGGUGGACGCCUGACCCGCUGAUGGUACCGAACUCUGUGCGUGGUAUGCUUUCCCAUACAGCACAUACAUACCUGUGAUAAAACCUAAUUUAUAAAUUGGAUACAGUAAGCAAUUAAUAACAACUAGCACUAAGAACAAUUGUAACAAUGGACCACAAUAACAAUUUAUUUAAAUUCAUGAAUUAUUUGUGGAGUUUUCCAUUCCAUAUUUUCAGACCAUGGUUGGCCAGGGGUAACUGAAACUGCAGCAAAUGAACCCGUGGAGAAGGGGAACGACUUCAAUGCUGUUUUUGAUGAGGGUCUCCAUACGGUUUUCACAGUAGCAUUUUGCAUGCCUGCCCAGUGGGCUUGGGGUUCCACUUCUUCACCUCCUCCCAGCACGGGCUGCAUUCUGUUCCUGGGGUUUUGACUGCAGCCAUCCUGGCAGGCCUGGGGCCGUGCCUGUAGCUCUGACCUGCGUCUCCCUAGGGAUCAGUGGCAUAGAUGGCUUUCACGAGCGUAGGGCCACGCACGUGCCUUCUUUGGAGAAAUGUCAGUUCAAGUCCUCUGCACGUCUUUGAAUUGCGCGACAGGCUGUUUGGCUUUGGUGGAGGGUAGGGACUAUUCCCUCCGUUGCAGACCCUCGCGCCCCGUCUGCACAUUCUCUUUAUUCUAUUGAUAGUGGCUUUCGGGGUUUGCGUUUUAUACUAUUGCUUGUGCCCAGGAGUCCAAGAAGUCACCACCGAAUCCAGCGUCACGAAGGCUUCAUCCUGUCUUUAUCUUAGAGGCUCACAGUCUCAGGUCUUGGGUCCAUUGUGAGUCCACGUCUGCAUGGUGUCAGGCAGGGCCCGGCUCAGUCCUUCUGCAUGUGCCUGUCAGCUUUCCCAGCACCUUUGUUGAAGAGUCUGCUCCCUUGGCUGCUCGUGGCACCCUCUAAAGAGCCCUCUGGGCACCCACCAGCGUCUUCCUAGUCUAUUCCUGCCCUUGUUUCCAUCUAUGUCUGUUUUCCCCGUGGACCAGGCUGCUUCGAUUACUGAAGUUUUGUACUAAGUCGUGGCAGCAGAAGUGUGAGUAUUCUAGCUUCAUUCUUUUAAAAAAUUGUUUUGGUUAUUCAGGGUUCCUUGAGAUUCUGAGGGCAUUUGAUGAUGGUUGUUCUGUUUCUGCAGAACAUGCCAUUAGGAUUUUGAUAAUGAUUGUGCUCUCUGUAGAUCACCUUGGGUACCACCUUGAACAAUCCUAAGUUCCACACUGUGGAGAUGUCUCACGUCUUCUUUCAUUUCUUUCAGGAUUAUUUUGUAGCUUUCCUUGCACAAACCUUUCACCUCCUUGAUUAAGUUAAUUCCUAACUAUUCUGUUCUCUGCUGUUAUUAAAACUAGAAUGGGAAAACCCACAGAAUCAUUUCAAACGAGGCAGACAAGUCAUUUGACAAAAUCCAACAGACUUUCAUUAUAAAAAUAUUCAGCAAACUAGGAAGAGAAGAAAACAACCUCAACUACAAUAAAAAUAUACAUGAAAACUCACAAUGAACACCACCCUCCAGGGGGAAAGACGGAGGACGUCCCCAGGGAGCACUUCCUCCCCACUCCUCUUCAGUUCAGAACUGGAAGUGCCAGCCGACUGGGAUCAUCGGUCAGUCCUCUGUCUGUGGAUGGGAUCUUAUGUUUAGAAAACACCAAGGUCCCACAAAAAGACAUUGGACCUUGUCGUGGGACACAGAGUAGGACACACAAAGCAGCGAGUCUGUACGUGGGCCAAGACACCUGAAAAGACAACUCCAGGACCAUUUCUGAUCCACCUCGGAGUGCCUCUAGUUCUCACUUCACUUACUUCAUUUCUCUCCUCCACAGCUUCUUUCUGCUUCUUUGUUCUCGAUGUGCUCAUCUCCAUUUUGUUCGCGCAUCACUUUCUGUGUUUUCUCCACGUCUCCUUCAGUGCACUGAGCAUCCGUGGGACAGUGUGCUGGAUGUCCGUCAGAGUUUCCAGGACACUGUCUGCUGAGGUGCUUUCCCCUUUGCCUGGGUCCCAUGCUCCGUUUCUCUGAUGCUCCGUGGGUGGAUCCUGUGUUCUCUAUGGUGGUGGUUGCUGUUUAAACUGCACAUUUGAGUCUAACCAGACUCUCUCUGUUUCAGGGCUUGUAAUUUUUUUUUUUUUUUCAGUGCUGGAAUCAGACCAGGGCACUGCUCAGCUAGGCAAGCACCACUAAACGUCCUGACCAGGGUUGUAGUUUUUGGUUUUGUUUUGGCUCAUAGUGCUUUGAUUUUGUUUCGUCUUUCGACUGUUGCAGGCUGUCUCUGUGCGGAGGCUCACCUGAGGUACAAACUUAAGGUCUUCUCAGAUCUUUUCUGGGCCUGUGACUUCCCCUGGGUGUGUGUGGUCACGUCAAAGUUUUCCUCAUAUACGAAGCUGUCCUUGGUAUCUGGCGCCCAAAUGAAAAGAGGGGAAAGCGGCAGUGGAGGGAGGGUUCUGUCCUUUAGGUGCUCUGGAAGUCACCUCGCCAAGAGAGGGGCCUGCCCCAGUGUGGAUGGAGUGGCCCCCUCUCAGGAGCAUCACCGUGGUUGGAGCCCAGGUCCCAGUAUUGGGAGGCCAAGGCAUUUCCUAUCCCGGCUCCUGUGGGCCUGAGCGGUCAGCUCCAGGAGCAGGUGUGCAGCUGCGAGCCCAGCCCUGAGAGGAGCCCACGUCCACCCCGACUCACCAUCUUCUGCCCGCCUUCGCCUAGCAGCUGCAUGGCAGCUAGAGAAGACAGCUGGAGACCGAGUGGCGCUCCCGGUGCGUCCUGUUCUGCCCUUUCCCAGCACCCUCGCUAAUGGCCUCUGAGAAGGAUGGUCUGUCUUCCCGUUCACACUGACACUCUGCAAUCCGGGUCUCUAGAUCACGUUCACUCUCUCCUGCCCACGCCCCCUGUGGCCUUGGGUUCCUGUAUUCCCUGUGAAUAUCACGAGACUAUAAAUAAGAGAGUGUACCACGUAUGAGGAUCACAAUAUAUAACACAUGAAUAACACACAAGCGCCAGACGCCAGCGUGUGCGGCUGCUGGGGCCUGAGGGGCUGCGUGCCUGCACCAGUGGCCCUGCAGGAGGCACCGGGUCCUUCAGGUGGUCAUGUUGCUCCCUUGUGCUUUCUGCAUCAGAAUGUGUCGGGAACCCCUGCUUGCCAAGGGAAGGGAAACCCCAGAGGCAAGAGCAAUGAGUUAGACUUGAUUCAUUUCUAUAACAGGGAAAAAUAAUUGUUUAAUGCUUAGCAACAUCUAUGUGCCUUUGUUUGAAAAGAACAAAAACCUUAGGUUUUUUGCAAUAUGAUUCACAUUAAUUCAUACCAUAAAAUUCCCUGUGUAAAAGUGAGUUCACCAUUUAAAAGUGAAUUCGUUUAAACCCAGUCGUUUUCAGUACCUGCACAAAGUUGAGCAACUGUUGCUGUUACUAAUCUUGGGAUGUUUUCAGCACCCUAAGUUGGAAUCCUGUGUGCACCCACAGGCAUGCCCACUCCGCCCUUUCUUCCCAUCUCUGUGGAUGUGCCCGCUGUGGAUGCUUCACAUAAUGGGGGCAGACGCACCGGCCUUGGGCGCCUUCCCCACUGGAGUGCUGGCGGGGCACAGUCCCCCUGCUGUCAGGAGUGGUGACCAGGGCCUGGACGUCCCACACGCAGCAUAUCGUUCAGCUGACAGACUCCGGAUCUUUUCCUCCCGCCUUUCUCUACUGUGAAUGAGGCCGUGAGGAACUCUCCUGGGGGAAGUUCCGUGGGAGCGUCUGUUUCCAGUUCUUCUGGGCCUGUGCGCAGGGCUGCCGUGCUGGGUCCCAGGCACUCCCUCCUCAGCUUUGUGAGGAAUGUGCGCUGGUCUCCGCGGUCACUGCCUGUUGCCCUUCCUCCCAGCGACGUAGGAGGCUCACAAUGUCUCCAAAACCUCCCAGACACACGCUCUUGCCAUAUUCUGUUGCUAGAACGGUGUUCUUCUGAGACACAGAAACGGUUGAGCAUGUAAAUUGGGCAUAUGCACAUAGGUAUUUGUGUAUGUAUACAUGUACACACACACAAAAUGAGGCUCGGCUCACACAGUUGUGCAGGCUGGGAAGUCGGUCAUCGGCACCCACAGGCUGGAGACACAGGGAAGGCAGUGUCACGGCUUAGUCUGAGUUUGGAGUCCUGGGAAACAGGGAUAGCUGCUCAGUGAGGGUCCAGGCAAGACCUAUGAGGUCUGCCCAGCGGGCAGGCAGGACAAGUCCUUCUUUGUCUGCUUUCUUUUCUGUUCUGCUCGGGCCUUCAGCAGGUCAGAUGAUGGCCCACAACACUGGGGAUGGCCAUCAGCCUGACAGGUCCCCAUGCUCAAUGCCCAUCUCACCUGGAGACCUCACAGCACAGCCAGGGAGAACGUUCCCCCUGGGAACUCUGGCCAGCCAAGCGGAUGCAUAAAAUUAGCCACCAGGAAAAUGUUUGGAUCUUUCAAAAAUAUUAAUUUUUAAAAAUCUUUUAGUGCAUUCUAGCCAUACCUAAUAGUGUGGUCCAUUUCGACCUGUUUUGAGUGCAAACGACAUAGUUUUCCCCGUGUCAAUCAUCUUCUAAGAAUCCCAAUUCUCUAACACAACCCUCCGUCUUUCCUUCAGUUUUGCCUGUAUUUCCUUCUACUUCUCUAACUUACCUGUCAUGGUUACCUGGAGGCCUUGCUGACUUCAGUGUCUGCACCAUGGCUGAGCCUGUUCCUGUUGGCUACCAUUUCAUGUCCUCUUUGAAGCUAUCACUUUUUUCUGGGUUUAAUAAUAGUCCAGAACCCCUUCUCUUUCGCACACCAUUUAUUUCUUCUCGGGUUUGCUUCAGAUGACUUUUUGGUGACCUGGGUUUUAAGACCAAUUGCAGAGAACUCGAAGUUCUAUUUUAAGUAGUUGAAAAUCCAUACUUUAAAGCAAUGUUUUCAGAAGCUGCAGUGCUCUACCGUGGCCUCUGAGUAGCUGUGGGGCCCCUGAAGUCUAAGGGCUGUCCCUGCUUCACCCAGAUUGGAGCUUACUUCUAAGGACUAUUUCAGUGAUCUCUGCCUCCACUUCUCUGUAGUGUUACUAUUGCUAGGGAGAGGAGCAUUUAUUCUACUGUGUAUUUUCAAAAAGGGAAGAAAAAGAUUGGAUCAAACAGAAUCUAUGUCCUUCCCCAAUUUGUGAACCCCCUUCCCACAUUCCCAUCUUAUUAUUUUUUAUGUUUGACCACUUCAGCGCCUAAAGAGGCACCAGUACUAUUGGCAGGUGGACUGACAGCAGAACUGCCCAUCCAGUGAUGAGCCCAGUUUCCUGCAAAGAGGCUAACAUGCUACCUGGGUUCCAUUUGAAGAGCCUGAGCUCAGCAUUAUUUGAGAUACACCUAAUUCUAGGGGAAAGUGGUUAAUCUAGAGCUUUGCAAAGCUUCUGAGAUAUUAAUUUUGCAGGAAAAUCCUUAGACUGUGAGAUUGUAGGACCAGACAGGGACUGUAGAUGGCAGACAGAUGAGGCCAAAGAGACCAGGAGGUUAGUGAGUUCCCGAGCUCUGGCUCAUCAGGGUCCAGGGCAGGUGGGGGGGGGAGGGAAGCGCUCCCUGAGGAGUUACCUGGUGUGUGAAAGUGAGAGAGGGAAGUGCAUUAAAAAUGCACCUUGAGUUUGGAACCAGGUCAAAUGAGCUUCUGAGUAGGAGAAGAAGACACCUGGGUAGAAAGGCUAGGUGCUGCUGGGAAUCACGAGUGACCUGAGGGGAGGCUCCAGGCAAGUCAACCGUGCCAACAGGACCCCGAAUUCAUAGGUACUCAGAGGGUGCAGCACGGGGCUUUGGUGUCUGCAUGCGCUGUGAACUCACUAACAAGUUGACCAGCUGACCUGUCCCCUGUCUCCUGAUCUGUUUAUUUGUGGUGAGAACUUUUAAGGCACCGUGCUGCACUGUGCGGUUCCAUCCAUCUUGGACUUGCUCGUCCUCUAACUGAGACUUUGGACACUAUGCCAGGGUCUCCUCCUCCCCAGCCCCGCCUCCGCUCGCAGCCUGUGGGAAGCCGGCUCUGCCCUGCGUUUCUGUGAGUCCAGCCUUUUCAGGUUCCACAAGUGGCAUCACGCAGUGCGGUUCUUUCUGUUCCUGGAUUACUUCACUUAAUGCCAGGUCCUCCGAGUCCACGCGCAUUGUUUCUAAUGACAAUGUUUCCAUGAAAAAGACAUUACUGAGUGACUCCUCCUGCCUCUCCUGGCUUCCAGGUUUCUGGAGUCCUCUGGUGUGGCAGGUUCUCUGUGCUCUGAGUCUCUCCUCCCGUAGCGCCCCGCGGCAAGUGGCCUUCAGACUUACCACCUGGGUCUGGGUCUCCUUGCCCCUCGGGUUUGGACAUGCUCCUGUUUUCUGCUCCCUUCCUUCCUGUACUCCUCUGAGACUCCCAUGAUGUUUACGUUGGGUCAUUCGAUGAUCAGAAACCUACAGGCCUUCUUCCUGCUUUCCCAUGCAGUGUUGUUGUUUUGAUUUUUAUUUGUUGUUAUUUCUCUGGGUGAUUCUCAGUUCCCUGUUUUCAAGCUCACGGAUUCUUUUGCUUAAUCAAGUCUGCUAUUGAAGUUCUGUUUGGUAUUUUUCAGUUCAGUCAUUUUGUUCCUUAGCUCCAAAAUUUCUAGCUUUUUAAAAAUCAUUUUUCUUUGUUGAUUUUCUACUUUUAUUUGCAUAUUUUUUCCUUUUUUAAAAUCUUCAAUCUGUUUUCUUAUAGCUCAUUGGAAUUCUUUAGGAUGAUUGUUUUGAAUUUUUGUCAGAGAGUAAAGCUUCGUUUAUGUAUUUUUUAUUUUCUAGAAUUGUGUGUGUGUGAGUGUGGGUGGGGGGGUGUGCAUGUCUGUGUUGGGGACUGACCCCAGGGCCUUGCACGUGCUGUGCAGGAGCUCCACUGCUGGACUCCUACCCAGCCAUCUCCCCCAUGUUCCUCUGUUGGUGCAUGUCUCCCUGAUUAUUUGUGACCCUGUGGCAUUUCAUCAGUGUCUAUGCGUCUGAAGAAUUAGGCACCUCUUUCCUUCUUUACAGACUAGCUUUGGAAGCAAAAGCCUUUUAUUACUGAGCUCAUUUAGAGAUUCUGGGUGGGCCAUUUGGCGGGUUCCUUGCUGCUGGGCUGGCCUGGGGCCUGGAUCAGUGGAUGGGUAGGCCUGGCAACCGUCCCCGAGGGCUGGCCUAAUGCCCGAAUCCACUGGAGUGGGCUUGUUUUUUGGGCCUGUGGGGCACGGCUGGGAUCAGGGUAUGUGGGGACAGACCUAGGCCCAUGUCCACAGGGGCUAGCCAGAAGCAAGAGCCCAGGGAGGCCAACUUGUGGCAGGAGAGGCCUUGAGUGAAUCAGGGUUCCUGGCCCGGGAAUGAUCCUGGUGUUGGGUCCAUAAGGAUGUGUCUGACCUGGAGUCUGUGAGAUCUGAAGGGGCCAGCCCAUUUCCUGGGUCUACUGGAGUGGUUCUGGACCCUGGGUCCACUAGAGGGGUCCUGGAUUCUGAGUCUACUGUAAGUCUCAUUCUUGGGUUCACAAGAACCUGGCCCUGUGUCCCUGGAUGCUGUUUCUGUGGAGGCCAGGUUGGGGGCUAGGUCUGUGGAGGCCAGGUUGGAGUCUGGGUCUGGGUAUGCUGGCCUCAAGCCAGGAUCUGCUUUUGCAACCAGCUGCAGUAGCUAUCCUGGAGCCUGGGGCUUCAGGUACUGGCCUGGUCUUCAGAGCCAGGUAGCUCAGCCUGGGGCUGGGGUCAACAGGUGCUGGCCUGGUAACAUGGUAGGUGAGAGCCUGGUGCUCUGGGUACUGGCCAGGCACUGAGGCCAGGUUUCAAGCCUCAGGUAGAAUGAAACCUGAGUCUGCUGGGCUUAGCCCUACGUCUUGACACUGGGACCUUCCUGGGUUUGGGUGUGCCUGGAGCCUGGGACCACAGGGCUUGGCCAGAGUCUGCAUGGAGCCUGUGCCUGGCCUGGGGCAGGCCUGGAGCCUGGGGCUGGGGAGAGACCAGUGCCGGGUUUCACAGUGGCAGGCUGUGCCGGGGUGCAUGGCAAAGAUGGGGGCGUAUUUCACUCUUCCUCCCACGUGGAGCGUCUGUCUCCGUGAAGACUGCAGGGCUUGAAGGGUAGUGAAAUGGCAACAUAGAACCGUCCUCCCUGCCCCCUUCUGUGCCUCUUAUUUCUCUGCUAUGUCUGAGAGCUGCAGUCUCUUACUGGAUUCCUGAUCCCUGACAGGCUCUGAAAAGUCCCCGUCACCAUCUGCUGUUGUUCCUGCACCAUGGUCCCCUGGACUGUUUCCUUGACAUGUUUAUUUGAGAGGAAUUUCCAUACCCUCUUUGUUCCCCAGGACUACAAACUUGCCUCCUGUGGAAUCUUAAAGUAUCUUACAGUUUAGAUCCAAGCCAUCUGUCUCAGCAUCCGUAGCGUUGGGGUUGGGGACAUCGCAUGGACUCGGGUCUAGCUCUGGCUUCAGGAGUGGACGUCCCCAGCUCAUGGACGCAGAUGGCCCCUAAUUCAGGGCAGCAUGUUACUCACACAAUCUCACGGGAGUUCACAAUGUUCUCUGCUGUGUCUGGGACCUUAUUCUCCUGAAGUAUGAACUCUGGGACGUCAGUGAUAGGUUUUGCUGCCCUCUGCAGGUCCCCACCUGACGCACACCUGGCGCACGGGGUGUUGGGGCAGGGGGACCAUGAAAGAUAGAUGCGAGAAUUACAAUCUUCACUGAUGUAGUGACACUGAACUGCACGCACACUACUGUUCAAAGAAGUUUCCACGUGUUACCAGGACUAGGACGGGGAUUGUUAUAUCCAAUAAAAGUCCGAUGCACAUAGAAACCCUUGAUCACAGACAAUCACUGGGACGCUGCUUCCCCCAGAUAAUUUUCCAACUAUGUGAGCUAUUUUCAUGAUUCAAGUCCUCUGUGCUGUGGAAGGACCAAAUUCAGGCAGGAAGGCAGCUCUGUGCACAACAACCACCUUGACUUCGUCCCUCUCCUGGGUCGACCCCAGUCCAGGCGGGGCUGCCUGUAGGAACCAACUUCUAAUAAAACAGUGUAGCCUGUAACCCGAAAAGGGCCCCUGCCGCUGUGACGAAGGGGCCUUCACGUGCCAGAGGUGGAGUCCCAGCCAGAGGCCGGAGGCGCACCAAGGGGGUGGGAGGCACAGGAAGCCUUGGCCCCGCCCAGGGUUCCAGCAGCAGCCAUCACUCUGGGCCAGAGCGUGGCGAGUUCCCCGCGGUAGUCAUUCCCAGGUACCAUGACUGAUCUCAGACCAGAAGGAGGCAGAAGUCACAUUGAAUUUCAUGCUGCUGAAGCUGGGACAGUCCCUGCCAGGUCUAACCUGCCCUAAGAAGAUUUUAUUCAUUGCUUCCUGACAUUUUACAGUCCUCUAAUUCUCCUGUUUUUGUGAUGCAUUGAAGCAUACAUUUAAAAAAAAAAUGGUCAAAAUCAGAACCAUCAUGGUCUUUAAACGGUGGCUGUUAAAAGGAGUUAGAGGAGCUCCAACAGCUACCAACCGGCCCAGGGCCUCCAGGGCCCGCUGAGCUCUCCUGGACUGUGGGAGGGAGGCUGAGAAUAUCCUGACCCAAAGACGCUUGCCACCGGGAGGAGUGAGCCAGAAGCCUUUGACUUUCAGGUCACUCUGCUUGUCUUCUGGAAGGUGGCCCUGCUCUUUAGCACACAGAGCUGUGCUGAGGGUGGCCGGGGUAACGCCAGGAGCCCCAAACCUGGGAAGUAAAGGACAAACCACCCAACUCUGCUCUCUGCACCUGGAGGCUGGGGAAGUGUGCUACGAUGGGGUGAGGGGUCCCUGGCCAGAGCACCUGUGCGUCCUCCAGGGGCAGGGCAGGGACCCCAGCUGGUGACUCAGGCUCCUGGGCUGGGCUGGCUCUCAACAGGAAGCCCCCAGUCCCCGUCCUGCGAAGGGCUUGAGCCCUGUGGCUGAGCACACAGGCGUGGCUCUGAAGUGGGCACUGCCACACCUGGACUGGGAUCUAGGCCAGCAGGGACACCCUGCAGCAGGGCAGCAGCAGCCACCAGAGUGUGCAGGGCCUGAGCGCCGGGCAGCAGCCAUGCCUGGUGUGGGAGAAGGCCUUGAGUAAGGAGAGCACAGUGCAGAGGGGACGUGCUGCUUUUGCUUGGCCAGUGGCUGCACUCAGAUCACCGUCACACUGUGGUGGCCAUCUGCUGAGCACCUUGGCACUGGUGUAGAGGUGAGCCCAUGUACCUGUCCACAGAGGCACACUGCCUGGCAGAGGCCGUGGAGUCGGGGAGCGUGUGGCUCUGACUCCCGUCAGCUGUGGGUGGAUCAUGACAGGCACCUGCAGGGGCACUGGGUGGCAGGCUCUGCGGUCAGUGCUCAGGUCUGUGAGCUCACUGAACCUCGCAGGGGUCCUGCUGUCUUCUUUUCACAGGGAAGACGCUGCAGCACAGAGGGUGUGGGAAAUGUGCAGAGGUCACCCAGCAGCAAAGAAAGAAAGUGCAACAAACCUAGAAGGUUCCGGAGUCCAUGCUCCUAACCGUUCCAUUCGGCCACUGUGCCUGGGGCUUCAGGAUUGAGAGCCUGUGAUAUUAAGACCUACGUGUUGGAGAGAUGCUCUAGAUUGACUCAGUGCCUGGAAUCAAGGCAGACAUCACCUUGCAGCAGUUGGAAUGAUCUGUGUUCCCAGCAGCCAGUGAGUGUUCACGAGUUCCCGAGAACCACGCUGGUGUGUGCAGGGAGCACCUGGUGGACCCCGCCUGGACUGGAGAGCUCGAGGGCAACCAUAGAGCUAUGGUAGGACCCGAGAGCUCUGCUGCGACCAUGUGUGCCCUUCACAUGGCAUCACAAAGAAUGGAAAGGGGACAGAGGAUGUGACCUGGCAGCACAGGCAGGCAAGGGUGCUCCAGUGUGGAGUGACGCAGACUACUGGGGACGUGGAGGUAGGUACAGGAGUGUAGUGGGGGGAAGACUAGUUCUACAAGCCACUAAAAGCCACAGAGAGUGUGGUAUUAGCAUCGCAAUCGGAGAUAGAGCCAUGAAAUAGCAAAGCCCUAAAACUGGUGUGUGUGUGUGUGCACGUGUGUGUGUACGUGUGUGUGUGUCUGUGUGCGUGCGUGCAUACAUGUGUGUGUGUUUAUACCAGGACUAAAACCCAGGGCCUGUGUCUGCUAAGCAAGUGCCCCACCGCUGAGCUAUACCUGGGCCCUUCUUUAUUUUUUAAAAGAGGCCAUUACAGUAUCCGUCUGGAAGAGAAGAAUUUGUGAGUUGGGGAGUUGACAAACUAUUUAGUAGAAAAGCCAAUUCACAGCCUCGCCUUCCCUGUCACGUAGUAUAAAGUCUAACUGUGUGUGAUGGUCACCCUGGGUCCAGUGGGUUCUCCCGGCAUGGCCAUGCCUGGUGCUACUCUGGGCCCUUUCCUGGUUUGGAUGACAGAUCGUGAUCUGUUUUAGUUGGCUUUCCCCUGAUAUAACCAAGACAAGAACACAAAGACCGACAAGAGCAACUAUAGAGGAGGAAAAGUUUAUGGGGCUCACAGUUCCCGAGGUCUCAGUCCAUAGAGCAGCUGCGGUGGAGGAGAGUGGUGGAGGGAAGCAGCUCACGUGAAAAUCAGGACGCAGGCAGAGAGAGCUCUGCUCACAAGCACAAAACAUGUACCCCAAGGUAAGCCCCGGGACCCACCUCCUCCAGCCACACCCCACCCGCCACCUUUAGCUCAGUUAUGCCUGUCAGGGGAUUAAUUCACUGAUUAGGUCAAGAUCUCAUAACCCAACCAUCUCACCUCUAAACCUUCCUGCGUCUCUCACACAUGAGCUUUUGGGGACCCCUCACAGCCACACCCUACCACAAUCUUCUAUUUAAUAGGCGUUACUUUGUUGCAAGUCUUCAAUCCCCAUCAACAUUCUGUCCAGACAUUUCUGCCUGCAGAUGGUCAUUUCUCAGUAGUGGCUGGAAACAGUAGGCAGUUGCUUUGAUGUUUGGAAAACCUCAUCCAUGCUCCAUGAAGCAAUCACGUGACUCUUGAUGGGAUCGUGCACCUCUGCAUGUCUACAUGUGUUCACACAUGAUUCAUCAACUCAGCUGCUCACCUGGAGGGGCCCACUGCAUGCCACUUGGUCCACUUUUAAUGUGAGGUGAACCCUUCCAAGUGGGCAAGUGGAAGAAGGAGGUGGUGAGGGGUGUACUUCCCAAGUCCGCCAGACUCCCACAUCACACCACCAUGGUAACACGCACAAGUCAGGCUCUCGGCUGUGGUUUCCUGUGGAAGUAGAAUAUUAACAAUAGUGCUCACCUAGAAAGUGGUUUCCACGGAUGCCGGCAGCUACUGGACUCCAGGUAUGCUCUUCCUAACUGCAGCACGUUCCCAUUGCACGGUACCGAGCAUUUGCAGAAGGAGAUGUAAGCUCUCAGACUUGGUUACACAUUCUGAGUUAGAGACCUGCCUCUGGCGCUUCCAGGUGUUCGGCUAGAUAUGCUGGAUAUGCUAAUUAGCAUCUGAAUGUCAGGUGCCCACCUUAUGAGUUAAUUUUGAAGAUAAAUACCGUGAUGCAGAUAAAUUUCUCAGUGCAGUGCCUGAGUAGAUAGAGUCAAACAAUGUCAGAUGUGGUGAUCAGCUUCGGAUGCUGAGAAAGGUUUGGAAGAAAAGGAUGAGAUUAGGCAUAGGAGUUGGCAGGACAUCUGAUCUUCACGUAGCAGGUGACAUUGCUGGAAUGCCAAGCAUCUGAUGUCCGUGGAGGUUGAGACUCAUGCUCUGAAAUUGGGACUUAUGAGAGGCCCCUGAGGUCAGGCGUCCAGCAGAGACCACAUCUCCCCAGAGCCUCGUUAGUUUGCUGCAGCAGGAGAUGGCAGCAGUGUGAUGAGCAGCACCCACAGGAACUUCAGCAGCUGCGGGCCGCGGCCAGAGUGCCGUGUGCUCCACACACAGACUCCGCGAGCCCUCGGCCGCCUGACGAGGUGGGCUGGGGAGCUUCGCUUGGCAGUGCUUAAGUUCCAAAUAACAUGUGGGUCUUUCCCGAAGAAAUAAAGAACAUGAGACUGAGAAGAUGUUGCAUCAGAGGAAGGGAGUGCUCCCUCCUCAGCAAGGUGGGCUGCGAAGGGAGUUCCCCGAAAUUCAGUACUGGACAGUAGAACACCACAGAGCCUCGGAACUUGGGAGUCCACAUCCAUAACAGUGAACGCGAAGCCUUGGAGGUUGAGACUCACGCUCUAAAACUGGAAUUUAUGAGAGGCCCCUGAGGUCGGGUAUCCAGCAGAGACCAGCAUCUCCCCAGCAACAAGGGGCCUGGAUCCAACCUCAGAUGCCCACCGACAGAGCCAACACCCAGGGCUAACUGCUGGGAGCCCCGGCUAGGACUCUGCAACACCCCGCAGUGGGGGACACGGUUGGCCCGCACUCCCCCGUCCACCCCACCCUGUGCCGGAGACAGGAAGCUGAGGACCACUAGAACCAGCCCGGACUCCGAGCCACAGCAGCUGUCAGCUAGGUGAGGGACACAGGGACGGUGGACUUACCCCCAGCCCUGACCCCGGAGUUACAGAGCCCAAAAUCAGUACCAAGAACGAAACUUCCCCUUUGCCAACAGUUUUGGCCACCUCAGCAGAAACAAGUCCUUGAUUUCUGCUCUUCUCCUCUUUAUCCUCUUUUUAAUUUGAAAUUGCAGUUUCUUAUUUGCAUUUAAAAAAAUUUUUUUGCAUUCCACAUGAUCAUGUGUGUGUGUUUUCACUGUGCAGACACAAUGAAAUAUAUAUUAAUAUAUUUAUAUGAUUUUCUGUCAUUUUAAUUGCUGUCUUCAUCCUUUAUUAUUUAGCCUUGGUUUGACCUUGAGUAAAUGGAGAGUCUGAAAAUGUGACAGGUCACACCGAGCUCUCUCCUGUAGUUACAGAUGAACAGAACGUUCACUGUAUGCGCAUAAGAGACGAGGAGGUCGUUAAUUAAGAUGUCACCCAUAUGAGGAGCACACAGUGUGUCUGCGGAGACUCAUGGCUCAUGGACUGUGGGAGCACACAGCCUGACCUCCGGGUCAGCCUGGUCUCCUUGGGACUUGAACAUUUUCCAAAUCAGCAAGGUCUCCCCGUGGUUCUCUGCUGGCCUCCUUCCCCUAGAAAACCCUGUCCAUGAGCACAGAGUUCAGACCUGGCUGUGUCCCCAUCUUCUCUUCCUGAGAGGCGAGAGCCGGCCCCCUUCCUCUGAGUGUGACUUCUCUGCUGUCCUUAACCAACCUUGGCCUGGCUUCGCUCGCCGAUGCCGCCUGCCAUUCUUCCUGCCACCAACAUCAGGAAUCUGGAUGGUUCCAGGUUGAGCUGUCUCUCAGGACCUCCUUGGGCCCCUCUGGGGACACCUCCACCAAGGUCACUGUUGUCUCAGCAGUCAUCACCAGCCUCUCCGGGCUCUGGUCAUUGCUCCCGGUGCUGGCCAACGUGGCACGUGCUAGCCCCAGGGUGCUGGGUAAUCUGCGGUAGCCUCGCCCCUCUGUGGUGGACUCCGGAGUCCCGCAGCGUGGAUGUGCUUACUAAGCCUUUGUUAGAGGAGCGCAGGCUGAGGGGGGUCAGCCAUGCCACCCUGGGGAGGGGGCUCUGAAGUGCCUCCUGCCAGCUCCCCAUCCCAACAAGCCCGCCUCACACAGUCGGCCGUUCGGCCCACACUUUCCGUCUGGAUCUGUGAAAUGGUGGCAAGGGGGGACCUGGGUCCAGCUGGGCUCCAGGAGCAGGCCACUGUGCUGGGAUCCCACCCUGGCCCUCCACAGGCGAGGUCAUGGUGCAGCGUGGGGCACACACGACCCACGUGCCCCCACCCGUGGAGGGGUCUGGGGGGGCUCCUAUCCACCCGCAGGAGCACUGAGGGUCUGCAGACGUCCUGAGAGCAGAAAUGUCCCUCCCUGGCCUGCCCAGAGAGUCACCAAGGCCUCCGUCAAGUAGAGGUCAUCGAUUCUAAGUCUAGACAUCGAAAACUUGCAGGUAACUGUGACAGGCUGCUAGAUAAGACAUACUCUCUGUUUCACCCAGAUCAUACUUUUAACCCAAUGAAAAUUUAAAAUGGAUAAAGGUGUAGUAUAUUGGAAAUACCUGGAAGAUGUAAGAAUUUUAAUGACUGCUCAUACCUAAGUAUUGUGAUGAUCAUUGAAUAAAUAAUCAUUUUAAAAUUUAAAUUCAUAAGUUUAAAUGAUUUUUUUAUUAGUUUCAAAAUUUUCAAAAGAUCUUCAUUUCAUUUAAAGGUACUGGUUAUGUUGUUACCAAAAUUUCUUCACAGCUUGUAUUCUACUAAUGGGAUCGAAAAGACUGAGAGUGAAUGUAAUUGUAUCCGAAGUGUAAAACAUUUCAGUAGAUUUUUAUACAAAUAUAAGUACCAGUGUAGAAAAUCAAAAUAUUAUAAUUUCAUACUAGCAAGUUAGUUUUCCUCUAAAUAUUCAAAAACAUGAGAAUUAAGACACAGUAACAUUGGUGAAUAUCAAACAUUCAAAUAAAAAGUUAUUUAGAGAUAGCUAGAUUUUUAAAUUGAGUUUUAUUGAAACUUCUACAACUUUGGAGUUCAGGGUCAUGCUGUCGUUGGUGUUAAAAGCACCUGUCCGUCACACAGGUCAUUCAGGACCUGUGCCCAAGCCCAGCUGGUGUGAGCUGUGAGCUGAUCCGUUAGUGAGGUCCAGGCAGAUCUGAAAAGACCUUCAGAAGCAUGAGUGGGGACAUGAGGAGCAGAGAGAAACAGACGGAGAUGGUGCUCUGUGACGUCAGGUGUGUGAUGGGCCUGGCCCAGGGUCGUGACUAUUGCUAGUAAUGACUACUGGUUGCUGGCAGAAGGGGCUGGUAGCUGCAGGGAGACUCAGCAUUCCUUUUGGGGACUUUUGGUUUUCCUUUGCUCUUGUGUUGGGAAAUCAUUUUAGGACUCAUUGAAAUAAAGAUGGCUAUUCCAUCGCCCCCACAUUUUGACCUAAGCCCUGAUUCUAGACCCGUUAGGAGACUGGAAGUUGAGCUGGUCUCUCCGGCUGUCUUGCCUUUACCUGGAGAAAGGAGCUCUCGGAGGAUAAACCUCGCCUGCAGCUGCUGCAGUCCAAGGGCUGCCUAUUUAGCAAAGUGCUUGUGCUCAGGUGCACUGAGCCCAGUCAUCCCCAGACUGGAACACUGGAGAGAAGGGGAGAAUGGCAACUGCACAUCAGAGUCUCCCCCAAAGCCUGGGACCUCAUCUCUUCCAAGCUGGACAGAGCCUGGGGAUCAGUAGCAGAACCCGGAGAGGCCGGUGGGGCUUUACUGUCCUACAGGAAGUGUGGCCUCAUUGCCAUUCACUGACUGGAAACUGGCAACAGCCACAUCCUCUGUGACUCGAAUCAUCCAGGUGGUCUUCUGGAAAUGGGGAGUGACCAACAGACUGAAAGGACUGGAUCCAUCAGGAAGCCGUUGGGUUUGUUUUGAGGAAGAAAGCUCCUCAUACCAACUCUUGCAAGAAGGUUCAUUACCCUGCGCCUCUUGGGAGCUGAGUUCUUCCUCUUCUGGGAGGGAAAGCCCAGGCCUGGACCUGGGUGGGGGCGGGCAGAGGCAGGGCUGGAGACCCCAUGGGAAGGAUGCCUGGGAGAGACCAGAGGCUACCUGUGGAGGCGAGUUUGCUCCUACCCGGUUCUGCCUCCUCCAGGUUCACCCUGAGGACACCCCUGGACACACCUGAGCUCCUGUUUUCCUUUGUUCAUUUCUCAGAGCGAAGCACACCACUGGCUUAUGGAUAAACAACAGAGUGUCCAGCACAUGGCAGGCGCCUGGGAGCAUGGACGAUGCUUAAAAUCUUACUAAUGCAGCAUCCUCUGAACUACCGACCUUCACGUAGGCUCCGUCACGGGCACGAAUAGAGGAAAAUGUGCAGAACACUUAAAAACAAAACAGACAAACACCUCUGACCUGGGGAGUCCUUACUUUCAAAGCCUGGGUGCACGGGACUUGUCACUCUGGGACUUAUGACGUGAGGAGGAGAGGUUUCCCGCCGACCCCGGUGCUCAGGUGGGUGAAGGCACCAGGUGCUGGAGGCACAGUCUGAAGCAUGUGCCUGUGGGUGUCACUGGGUCAGGCCGCUGCCUCCCACCUGCCCUGCUCCCUUCUGACUCACAGGGGUGCUAACCAACUUCCUCUGCUCUGCCGGAAUGAGGCUCCCUGCCCACCCUGCACCCUGCGGCCUGAGAACCGGCUUCCACUUCAGAGGCUGAGUCACGGCCUUUCUUCUAAAGAUCAUUUCUGCCAGCAGAUUUCCUCAUCCAGUUUCAGAAAGAAAGAUCCACAAGCCAGAGGGCUCGGUUGAGUAGCGUGGUAGCUUCCUGGGCUGAGAUGUGAGGCCCCCGCACUUUAAGGUCAACCUCAAAGAUAUUUUGGGAAGUCAUAUAAUCAAAGAAAAUUAGCAUGAAACUCAAAAUCAAGGGAAAAAUACCAAUGUUUCAAUAUUCCUCAGAGCUGAACUCAGCUGCAAUGUCUGAUUUGCAAAAGGAAGUGGUGAUUCAUCUCUGGCCCUGUGGCCCCUCAGAGUGCUAAGUUUCUCUUGAAGAGUCCCCCGAGGGUCCAAGGGACCUGGGAGGUUCGGGUUAACAAUGUGGGCAGUGCUUUCAUUCCUUUAGCUUCUAUCAGCUAAAAUACAUAAACUUUUACUAACUUCGUGGAUUUCAAAGAUCAUUUUUUUACUUAAGCAUGAUACAUUUGUAUGCAAUUAACCCAUAGAGGCCUUAACAAUGUAAUUUGACUUACCAUAUGCAGUAAAAAUCCAUCUUGGUGAAUGUAUUCAGUUUCAGUUUUUUAAACAACCCCCAGGGGAACUGUAUGUUGACCUUGGGGGUACCCGUGGGGGCCAACGGGAAGGCAUGGAACAGCCCUGAGAUCUGCAGUUGCUACAGACCCUGCGUGACCACCUGCACUGUGGCGGGGAGCAGGAUUCGACCAUGCUGGCGCAGGCCACCCAACGGCCUUGCUGAGAGGGAGACGUGCACCUAACGGUGUGGCGUGUGAAGCCCCUGGGAACCCACAUGCUGCUCACAUGUGUGACCUCCGCGUGCUGGACAGUGAGCCCCUGAUACCUCUUGGAUCUAAAAAUGUCCCCCAAGGAGCUCCUGGUCAGGUGAUGCAGGAGUGCCCAGAGGUUAUGUGACUGGAUCCUGGGAGCGGGGACAUCAUCAGCGGGGAAUCUACUUGAUGGAUUGAUAAUUUCAAUGAACUGUGGGUCUAACAGCAGGCAGGUGGGGUGUGGCCAGAGGAGGUGGGUCACUGGGAUGUGCCCUUUGACUCUAUCUGCCCCUGGCCCCUUCCCCUGUCUCUCUGUGCUUCCUGGCUGCCCCUAGCUGAGCAGCUGUCCUCCACCACACCCUCUGCCGACACUCCUCCUGACCUCAGGCCCAGAGCCACGGGGUCAGCCAACUAUGGACGGAGCCUCUGGAACUGUGACCUGGAGCUCGUUCUUAUAAGGUCUUGAGUUCACUGAAGGCUGACUGGCGGCACCCAGGGAGUGUCCUGCGCCUGGAGGACGGAGCUGCCAGAAAUGGACAGCGCUGAGGCACCCCUCCUGGGGCUCCCUGGACAGUCCUGGGAGGGCAUCCGACGGCCACGGGGCCCCGCAUCCGUACUGGCUCUCCUGCUCCUGCUGACUUCCUGAUUCAUCUCCUUCUCCAGAACUUCAGGCUGGGGAAAGGGUCAAGAAGAGAAUCUACUUCUCACAGCUCUGUGGAGUGGGAAGUCCAAGACCCAGGGGCUGGCCUCUGGCGGGGCUGGCGCCUUGUCAUUCUGCAGCAGGAUGUGGAAGGGCAAGGGUCACAGGAGUGCCACAGGGCACGAGGGGGCCUGACGCUAUUUUCAUAAGGAGGCCACUCUUGCAGGAGCUAGUCCACUCCCGAUGACAUCGACCCACCCCAGAGGCACAGCCCCGCGGGGACCCACCCCCUCUGACAGGCCCCACUUUCCCUGGCUGUUGCAUUGGGGACCAAGUUUGGAGACGUGGACUUUGGGCAACACUCAAACACUGCGUGAUCCGUUGCCACUUAACAAAUCACCUUCAGGCUUAGCGGCUUAAGUGUCUCAUUCUCCAGUGUCUGUGGCCGGCCUUCAGGAAGAGCUGAGCUGGAUGGUUGGAGCCCAGAACGUUUCCAAGGAUCAAGGUUCAAGGUCAUCACCGGGGCUGCCCUGGAGGCCGGGUGGGGCUGGAGCUCCCCCACCCCCACUCUGCAUGUGUGGCUCUGAGCAGGAGCCCUGUUCCCACCCAGGGUCUGCAGCUCCUCACACAGUGGCUUCCCGGAGUGAGCGGUCAGGAGAGGGGCAAAGGAGAGUAAGAGCAGCAGGUCUCCUUACCAAGUUCUAAAAGGGGUGUGGUCACUGCCACUGUGUGCUGCCGAUGACGUAGGCCUCACCUGGGCCCAGUGUGGGGUCCACAUAAGGGGUGAAGGCCAGGAGAGGGGAAGCUGGGUCCUCCUGGAGGUCGGCUGCCACACUGCCUCAGGGCCUCCCUCCUGGUCCAUGGGGUCAUUGCUAUGGACUGAAUGGUCUUGCUCCCUGCUCCCAGAUGGUGCUUGGGGGUGGAGCUUGGGGAAGUGAGACAUCACCCAGGUGCAGCCUUCACAUAGGAUUGGUUCCCUAUCAAGAGACACCAGGGAGUCCACUUUCCCUCUCCCCACCUGGUGGAGACAGCAAGACACAUCCACCCACAGGAAGGGCCUCCUAGGACCCAGCCUCAUCUUUCCUGAGCCUCCAGAGCCAUGGGAAAUCAAUCCGUGUGACUUUAGGCUCCUAGUCUGGGUGUCUUCAGUCUGUGUUAUUUUGCUAUAGCAGCCCAAGCUGUCUAAGGUGUCUCUGUACCUAAGUCUUUUAUCCCCAAUUCUGCUCUUGGAUGGAAGCCAUGCUGAGGCAGUGGAUGGUUUUCUCUUAUCCUUUUAAUGAUGCAGAUGUGUGCGUGAUGAUAAGGAAAGAUUUCCAAAAUACAUCAAGUGCAAAAACAAGAGGUCGAACUGUUCUAGCACAUGCACAAACCUGGCGACUGUAUGGGAAACUUCCUCAUGGUCAGUGGGGUGACUUGGGGGAGAAGAUGAGGAAAGACUUUCUAAUUUUCAUUUCAUGAUUCUCAACAUGAAUUUUUGAAACACAUUUAUGUAUUCCCUUAAAAACAGUUUGACUUUUUGAGGUGGUGAAAUCAUGAGCAAUUUCUAAUUUCUCUAUAAUUUUCUGCAUAAAAUAUUUCAUAGUGCUUUAAAAAAAUAACUUUAUCAAUUAAAAAACACUGUCUCCUGUCACAAUUGAAAUUGUUUUUAGAAGUCCUAAGUCAAAACAGUAUGAGGGCUCCUGUGUGGCCUCUCUCCAGGUGGUGGGCUGUGGUUUUGCCCACCUGGCCUACUCAGACGGGGGUGGAGAGGCAUUCUGGCCUGCAGGAGUCCCUGCUCAGUGACAGGGCACUUCUUGAGACCACUGAGGGGCUGGGCGGCACUAUCCUAACAUCAUGCGGAACCAAGCCUGGUGCAGUGCCUGUAAUCCCAGCAGCUCCGGAGGCUAAGGCCGGAGGAUCGAAAGUCCCAAGCCAGCCUCAGAUGCUUAGCAAAACUAGGAAUGCACAGAGGAAUUAUCACCUGGAAGCAUUCCCAGAAUCUUGUUCUAGUUCUCAGUAACUUUUAAUAUUUUAAAUUCAGGUAGAACUCCUCACCAAGAUCAUCUGAAUCCUGAUAAAGAGCACUUAUAGGAGAACUCAAAGGAUAACGGGUAAAAUUCUCAUCUUGAAAGUGACAGGCAGCCAGGCGGUGAUGAAGCAAAGUGGUGGCUGCCUCCUCUGAGUCUUCAGCAGGUAGAGCCAGGACAGGGUGCCAAGUAGCCUCAGAAUCCUGCCUCAGGGUAGCUCGCCGCUGUGCGCAGCGGCCACGAGGUGGCGCCAGCUGCAGCCGGAAACCACUGGCUCUGCUCUGCAUCCAGGUGGCACCAGCCCAUGUUGCCUGGAUCCCAGAGGCAGCUCCCUGCCUGGGGCUGGAGCCCCACAUUUAACCUUGAUUUUCAAAGACCACAGGAUCAGAGGCUGUGGGAGGGUUUUACUACCGUGAGCAGCAGAGGGCUCUUACCACAGGUGGGUUGCUCAGUAAUACUUACAUCCAAGCCAGAUAUGGUCUACACUGAUCAAUUUAAGAAUUUGAGUUGUCAGUUUCACUAACUGGCAUGAAGCUAGUGAAGGGAAAAAAACGAGAAACCAUCAGUACUUUUCAAGACCAUUUUUUUUUUAAGGAAGAAAAAAUUGUAACUUAAAAAAUAAACACCUUUCUCAAUUACUGGAAUAUUUCUUGAUAAGCAAGUAUAUUUCCUACAAUUUUAUGUGCUAACCAAGUAUCCUUAUCAAGCUUGUGUUGUCAUGGAGGAAGGGGUCCUCCGUGGCUAGGCCACUGUGCCCUUUGAGUGCUCUGGCUGGGACCGUGGUGGUGUUUCCUUCGGCCCGUCCUGGGCAGCGGUCUGCGUGGCUGGUCAGUGGGUUCCUCGAGGCUGGCACGCAGUGCUGACUUCCACUCAUCCCCGUGGGAGUCCACUGCUCCCAGCUUACUUUCGUUUUUUAGCUGAGACACAAACAUGAGGUUAGAUCAACAUCACGUUAAUGUGAUAACAGUCCAACGUGUGAUGUAAACACAGGAAAUGAGCGGAAGAGUUCCCCUCCAGAGCCACCUCGCUGGGCUGGCCUGCCUGGUCUCUGACCUGUCCCAGCUGGCUGGGCCUCUCGGGGCAGCCGUGCCCGCCCCGUGCCUGCUCUUGGUUUUCCCGCAUGGCGUGAGUUGUGGGGCAGAGGGGACGUGGCGGGAGAUGGCUGGCCUGCCUCAAGUGUCCUCGCAGCAGCAGAAAGAUCAGCAACUGCGAGCCUCCAUCUGGGUGGCCACUUCUUCUGCUUCCACACUCUUGACUCCUUUUCAUCAAAUUGGACCAAGUGGUAAAUAUUAAUGAAACAUGUAAAUUUGCAUAGCGAGUUUUCUCGGUUUUGUCUUCUCUAGUAAAAAGUCUCAAACCACAGAGAAAGGCACUCUUCCUCUUUCUCUCUGCCAGUCACUCUUGGCAGGAGAGACCCCGCAUUUUUCUCAUGCUACACCAUGAGCUCUCCACACCUUACCCACUAACCAUUUUCACAAUCGCCAUAAAAUAAACCCCUCGAUAUGUCUUCUCUCCUCUCCUGCAGCUCACGAUGCUUUGUUCCUAGAGGAGAAGUGGGAAAUCCUGGUUCCUGUGGCUCCCAGGUGGAGGCUGCCCUUGGAGACGCUCCCAGAGACCCUGCAUGCAGGACGUGGCGGCUCAUCGACCAGCUCCAGCCCACUGGAGACUCUUCCUUGGACUGGAAAAUAUUUACAUCCUGGGUUCAUCUAGAGAAAUUAAAAGGAGCACUGUUGGAGAAUCGAACAAUUAAAUGUAAUUAAAUGUAAAUGCAAAGAUAAAAAUCCUUAGCUACAUUCCAAGUGCCCCCCUUGGGGGAGACUGCAGGGUUGGACUUAAUGAUUCACAAGCCUGUUUGGGGGCUCCAGGGUUGCCAGUCCUCUGGCCUCUGAGAGUGAGCUCUGCUUCUGCUUCAGAGGAGAGAGUCGAGACUUCACAAGGCAGGAUGGGUCGAAGGAGACCAAAGGCGGGAAUGGAGAAGGCGGAUGAGAAAAGUCAAUUCUCGGUUUUUUUUGGAGUGAAAUACCCUAUGUCAGGCAAUGAGAGUUCACCCUUAGGGUCUUGCACAAAGUCGUUAGUAAAUGUACAUUGCUCACCUAUGCUUUAUAGAGAGAAUCCCUACUGAGAACAGAAGACUCCUGAAUUGGGCUUUGAGGUCAGUGCAAGUUGAAAUCAGUCUUCUACAGAAGAGAUUACAGAUGAGAUGAUGCUCAGCUGGAGAGUGACCUCCCCAUCCAAGACCCCACAUCCUUCAUGAUUUGCAGGGAUAGAGCAGAGGCUUAGGGCUCCUAACAGAAGAUUCUCACAGCAUUUAAAACAGGAACGUCUCUAGUUUACGUGCAUGACUCUGCGUUUGGUGGGGAGAAGACAGUAAUAUGUAAACAUCAGUUACCCAUAAUUAUAAAGUGCAUAAACCAGUGAUUGUGUGUGUGUGUGUGUGUGUGUGUGUGUGUGUGAGCGCGCUCUUGCAGGUUGGCUUGGUUUGAAUUUCUGUUACUUGCAGAGGGCAAUUCUGGUUAUCAUAGGUCAGUCAGGAUGAAGACAGGCAGGAUAAGAGAUUGAGAACAGGAAGGACCCUCAGAGCCGACUGUGUGCCAGCCUCUCUGCCCGUCAAGGUGCAAGCUUAGCCGCAGCCUGCGCUGGUCCCGGGGGAGGAAUCCAUGGGCUUCUCCCUGGAGGAAGGCUCAUGGAAGACCUGUGCCUGUGUCUGGGUUCCCAAGAGCUAUCCAGCACCAGAUUGGAACUCGCUGGUGGGAGCUCAAGUUUUCAAAACUUAAACGAAAACAGAAGAUUAAAACCUAUAUGACACUUACAAAAAAACUGGGGGGAAAGUCGCAUUUGGAAGAUACAAAAGUCAAAGCAAACAUAUAAAAACUAUGAACAGGUAGGGAUGAACUUGUUUUUAAAAUGGAAGCCGAUGAUGAAUUCCAUUCUCAUUACUGAUGGGCUAUGAAGUCGUUGGAGGGUUCUUCCUGUUCUCAUUGUCUUGUCCUGUCUCUUCCCCUUCUGAUUUAGAUUAGGUAAAAUAGUAAUUUUAAAAUUACUAUUUUACCUAAAACCUCAAGAGAGGUUUUGCUUAGCCAGAGUCUCGUCCACGUGGCGUUUGGCAAAGUUCUGAGGCAGCUGCAGGCCGGGAGCACCUCUGGGCCGGUGGCAUGAGAGACGGUGGCCUGGCUCCUGCCACUGUUCCACUGCACAGGGAACAGCACGUGGUCUGGAAUUCUGCAGGACAGGCACCAGCCAGGAAUGUGCAGCUCCACGUGGGAGAGUCCCACCAAGUGCCAGGUUAGUGCAGACUGGUCCUUUAUCACACUGAGAGGAUGCACUUUUCUCACGUUUACCUGUGACUGAAUCAAGUCACUGAGCUUGUCAAAUACUGGUUUGUAUAACAUGCCUGACAGACGAUUUCCUUUUGUCAAGAGCGCUUAAGGUGACCUUGAAGCACUGGUUUCCCAGAGUUUGGGAGCUGCACUUCUGAUGCCAGAGGCGGAGGAAGUCCAGCGCCCGAGGGUCUGCCAGUGGCGAGGAGCAGCACCCCAGGGAGAAGCCAGACCAACCAGAGGGGAGCGUCCUCAGGUGUCCACUCCCUUAGUACUGCCACAGGAUGGACGCUGUCCCUGUCCACUGGACCCCGAGGCCCUGGGCAGCUCAGCAUACCCUGGGCAUAUUGGGGCUGCGUCCUGGUUCCCUGGCUCCUCCUCUGAGCCAACCUCAGCCCUCCCUCCGCAGCCCUCACUGCCUCUCAGGAAUCGGCUGCGUUCACAGCCACCCUCCACACACCUAGCACACUCGCCCCACACCACGUUCAAGAACAGGCUUCUGGACGGUGAGUGCCGGUGAGCAGGUCACGGGCCCUCGACAGGAGGACAGAGAGCAAGCAGGACAGCAGCAGGUGCACCAUUCACGGGUACCAAGUCACCCAAGGAGCGUUUCUAUAAAUACGAAAAUAAUGAGAGAGUGCCCUUUGCUUCAGAAUGCUCUUUGUUGGGAUUACUUCUUUCUGUGACAUUUGCAGUUUCUUGAUCUUACAAAUUUGGUCGAUACUGGUUUCCCUCCUCAUUUUCCUUUGAAGAUUGCCCCUCCUGGAAAUUGUAGAAAUUGAUGUUUUACUCCGUCUACUCACGGAGUAGAAAGGGGGAGAGCCAGGGGGGCCUCAUGUUCUGAGGCAAUGUUCAGGGUAAACAGGAGUCAAAGGCACCACUCUGUGUCACGGUUUUGCGUGGUGACACCUCCAGAAUGGGCAUCCUUGGCCUCUCGAGGAAAUGUAGACAGGUGUUUUCAUGCCCAACACCAGGCUAUUUCUCAUGCCACAGCUUCCUAAAAUUGCCUGAAUUUUAACGACUCAAACACAAUGAUGAGAAAAGCAGCCCUUAUUUAAUAAAGAAUGUCCGCAUCGGCCUCCUUCAUCCUUGGCACACGUCAGGUGAGGUACCAGGCCGCGUCUGGUCCCCCCUCAUGCCAGGACUGUCCUUGACGCUGGGCGCAGAGCUCUGUUCCUUUCUGUCCUCUCAGUGUCUUGCUGCUUUGAGAUCUUUACAACACUCCAGAGUGUUCUGUACAACGUGGCCAAUCCUGGAGACUUCAGAAAGUGAUGUGGGACGGAAGCGUCCUCAAACCCCCCGUCUCCGCCUAGGCCGAAUGCAGAGGGUCCAGUGAGAACUUCAUCAGGAAGGGCCGCUGUGAUGUGGAGGAGAGGAAGGGAGCCCCGCAGCCCGCGCCGUCCCAGGAGCCUCGCACCAGGCCUGGGAGCCAUGAUGAGUCAGGCUUCUCUUCAGCUUUUAGUAGCCAUGAAGGCAGUUUUUACCUACCCAGAGUGAUAUCUGGAAAAGAUCAACUCCUACCCGCCCACUCCUACACAGGGGUGGUGGGCGGUGGGGGAGCUUACCGUCUGCGUGGGCACCGGGCUGGGGACGCUGGUCCCACCGGGACUCCUACUCGAGCAGCAGGGGCACACCAGCUGGGCCAGAGGAGCUUGGCGGGUCUCUGCUCUCUUCUUCCCGGCUCAGGUCCAGUGCAGCCUCAAGGACCAGCCUGGAGCUGCUGGUAAAACCCCCGAGUCCACUGUGCCAGCGCCCGGCGGGCUGUGGUGCCAUCUGGAAUACUGAAUUCAGUUUUCAUUGGAGCCCUCACCGCCCCUUGCGUGAUUCAGGGUGAGACUUCCUCCCCUCCACAUCACAGCGGCCCUUCCUGAUGAAGUUCACCUUAUGAGGUGGUGCGCUCCCGCAGGCGCAGUUACCAAACAGGAAUUGCUCUUUUACAUUCCUUCUUAAAACUGAGCACAUUGGCCUCCAAAUCUUCACAAACAUGACUGUUUGUAUUGUACCAAGAACAAUCUCAAGUGUUCAGUGUAUUGUGUGCAUUUGCUGUGAAACCCGCCCUACGUCUGUGUCCCUGUGCGCACGCUCACUGUCUCUUGCAGACAGGUGGGCAGAGGCAGAGGAGGACAGAAGCCGCACACCACCUAAUUGGCAACCCCUUUCUUGGUUAUUUUCACAAUUCCACCAUGGGCUGAAAAGGCCCCAGGUGCACAGUGGCAGCCAGGAGUCCUGACAGAUGACGACCAUGCGCCCACAGCUUCCCUGAUGGGGCAGGCCCCUCUGUCCCUCUUAGGAGCCCAUCAUCCGUGUUAGCAUGCAGCGUCACCUGCACUUCACCCUUUCAGCAGCCGUCGCUGCCUGAGGAGGACUUCUUCUUGAGCCAUGACCUUGGCACGAGCCUCCUUGGCCUUCUGCACGUUGGGGCAACAACUUCAUCCUCAAGCCCUAGCACCGCAGGCUGGGAGCUGCCACGAGCUCCAACCAGCAGUUGGGCUGUAACUGCAGAAUCUAUGAAAGGAAAUCAGGUCAAAGCCUGAGCUGGGAAAUGCAUGGCUGUGAGACUGCGCAGCCCUCCUGCAUCCCAAGGGACCCACGCAGGACUAGGAUCACGCUCUUGUCCUGUCAGAAUGCACGGUUCCCAAACACAGCUUCCAGUUCUUCCCUCCCAAUCCAACUGGACUUGACCUCAUAAACCUGCGUUCCAGGCUGACAGCCAGAAAGCAGCUGGUGCCCAGGGAACUUCGGGGGGCCGAGCCUGUCCAGCAAGUACCUGUGGCAGCUCAGGAGUCUCCCUGCCUGCAGCAGCCUUCCCCAGAACGUGUGGUUUACGUCAUUCUCCAGACGCUGCCCCAGUGCCAGGGGACACUUUUGUUCAGCCACGCCUCCUGUGGACCCCAAGCCAGUCUUUCCUUUGUCAGAGUUGCUAAGAGGGCAAGGGGACCAGGUUCUGCUCACUGAGACAGUUCCCCCACGUCCACAGUGGACUGUGAUGCUUAACCCACAAUCGUUUUUCUAUUUAACAAUUUCUAAUAACGACACACUUCACUGGACCCUUGCAAAUCUCUUCACGUGUAUUUUAUUGGAGUAACGGCCACUUUCAUGCUGACCUUGAUUCCUCUUCUCUCUGGCCAGCGUAGCUUUGCUUCCUACCUCUGACCCUCACAGAAAGGAAGCAGAGUAUGCGAAGUGCAGGGGCUCUGGUCUCUGACGGGACUGUUCCACAGCUGUCAGGAGGGGGACACAGAGACAGCCCUGGGAUUGGAGGUUUCACUGGGCCUUUGACCUUGGUGCACCUGCUGCUCCUGCCCACAGGCCUCAGCUGCAGCCUCCCAGGCACUGCCAGAGGAUUAACUUUCCUCUGCAUGUAGAUGCAGACCCUCGCAGGAAGGACAGAAAGCUGAGACGUCUUAGUGCCCUGUGUCAGAGGGCGCUGGGGCCCAUAUGGUGGACGCUGACCCACACGCUGCCUGCAGCUCUGGCCUGCUCACCCUGGUUUCCCGCCCGAGUUCCCUCAGUGGCCUUACACCUGAUUCAGGGUUUUGAUGGGUGUUCCACGCUGACGGGCAUGUCAGGACUGCUUUCCACAGAGGGCACCUGAGGCCCACACUUGCCCGCCCAGCACUGGCUGUGCUCGGGUCAGCCAAAGCCAGAGCUGGGCUGGACGCUGCCACCCAGGCUCUCACAGCACGGGACUUCCACUUGUGCUGGAACUGCUUGCCACCUAGAGAGGUCAGCAGGGUUCCUCCCAUGUACUCUCCAGCCCCACCCCUCCCUUCCCCAGUGCAGCUCUAGUCAGUACGUCCACUGCUGUCUCUGCAUGGACCGAGAAGGUCCAUGUGGAGGCACAAGUGAUCCACAGCCUCUGAGGCUCCUGGGCUUCCUUUAGCAAACCAGAGGCCUUGCUCAGCUGCCAGGUGGAGCCACUUCUUUGGAAGACCUUGGACAGCUAGAAAGGCCUCCAAAGGAGAGAAGAGCCACUGCUGUGACCCCUGACCACAGCUGUUGUGCUCAAGGAGGGUCCAGAGUACAAGCAGCUGCAGGAUCUUCUGCCUGACGCAGGGCAGGCAGGGGCAGGUCCCCAGGGCACUGGUCUGGAGAGGCGUGGCCCUGCGUGGGCAGGCAGGCCUGGGCUCCUGGCUGAACUUCAGGAGUAGUUUCAGAAUGAAGCAAGAAGGGCUCCAGGCCUGCUGGAGAGACAACCAGGUGAACCAGGGGAUAGGUCGUGGUUUGUUCAUGAAGUGGGCUGUGGGUUGGACACUUAAAUGUUUCUUGAAAGACAAAAUUAAACCUAGAAUUGAGCUUUAAAGUUUAGUAGCUACACCAUCUUAGUACCCCAUAGGACGGCCUCUCAGCCUCUGCCCUGCAGCAAGUCCCCCAAAGACUCAAGAUGUGAGACAGCCCUGGGAUCGGAGGUCUCACUGGGCCCUUGACCCUGGUGCACCUGCUGCUCCUGCCCACAGGCCUCACAGUUCCAUAGCUCAGAGCUCGGCGGGGUCAGAGGGCAGUGCUGUUCUCUGCAGGGCCAAGGCCGAGCCGUGGAGGGGGCAAUCCUGCUCUGGGGCAGCUGGCUCUAAUCAGGGACGAGGAGGAGGAGGCACCUGGGACCCAGUCUUUCCCCUUGAUGGCAGAAAUGAAAAGCCACAUUGUUUUCCCAUCAAGAGGGGGAGCCCUUCUCCACUCCCGUAUCUGGACCACCCUGGUGACUUGCUGUGGCCAAGAACACAUGCAGAAGCAAAGCGGCACCCUCCUCGGACCUGCCUCAGGAGGUUCCCAUCUGCUCCCUCUCUUUAGAAUACUUCUAAUCACCAAUGAGGUGUCAUGAAACACUGUGCACAGCACGUGGCUUAGAACUGGCUAUUUCAAUAGAGAACCAAACUUACACGCUAUUUUGCAGCUUUGCUAAUUUAGGAAAAAUUCGAUAUCCGUCCUAUGAACUUGUAAAUGGGGCCCCAGUUUUCAGCCUACAUGCACUAAGCACUGGAUUGAAGGAGCGACGGGAUCCGGGUUGCUUUCAUACCUGUUUGGUUGUUACAGACCUAGAGCUCUCCUCUCUGAUAAGGCCCCAAUUCCUUGUGGAGGUGACACCGCUGUAUGACACAACCAAGCAGACUUUAGAAUCACGGGCAUGAAGCACUUCUGCCAGAAACCAGAGCACUUCAAAGGAGCCCUUGAGUCUUCUCAGGAAGUACCACUGACCGAGUGGCCAGGCCUCAGACCUGAGGAAACCCACAGCCGAGCCCGACUCUGGGUUGGCUCAGCGACUCACCCACAGGUCCCCUAGACUGGCCACCUUGCCUAAGAGCGAGUGACCCAGAGUGGACACUCACAGGAUGCUCAUGGCUUCUUGUUCAGCCUAGAAGGCAGCCACACAACUUGGAGAGGUGGCAGAGGAGGCUGGAAGGAGGAGUGGGCAGGUCCAAGUGGAGUAUAUACAGCCAAGGAGAGCCAAAGACCCUGGUCAAGCGGGAGUGGCGUUUCCCACUAGUCCAGCUCCAGGGCAGUGUCCUGGAAAGCACGCUGGCCCACCUCAACUUCCAAAGUUGACCCAGCAAACCAGAGCCUGGAGGUGCGGGUCAGUGAGUUCCUGGACCACGGUCAGCAGGAGCCUCAGGGUCACCCACCGGUCACACCCACUCGCCUUUGCUGUGUGGCCACAAACCCCAGGUUCCUCAGCCCGGUGAUUCCCAGAGCCUGCUGGGUGGACAACGAGAAGCCACGUCCCAGGACAGGCUCUGCCUCUGGAUCAAGUGUGGGUCUCUUCAGUUUUUGAAAACUCAUCAAGCUGCCAACUCACGCGCGUGUCUGUCUGUGUACAGUGCUCCAGUCAGAGGUGCCAGAGAACAGGAAGCCCACCUCUCUGUGCUCCCACACUGGGCUUUGGGCAGAGCUCUGCAUUUGCAUGGCUGUGUGGGAAAGGGACAUCCAGCAGCCACAUCAAGUCUUUCGCUCUCCCUGUGGUCACGGCCGUGGUGCAGUCCUUUUCCAGACCCUGGGAGGGGAAGAUGGAACCCGCUAAAUCAGGCCAAGGCUCCCGAGACGGAUGGUUCUGGCCAGGGACGGAGGAGGCCAGGCUCCCUCCUGGGCUGUGGCUAGGACUUGGCCAGCACAACGCAGGUCGACGGCACCUUACAGAGGGCUGUGUAUCUCAGCAGAAGUCCUCCAUGAUGGCUCACUGCGAGAUUCUCACUCACCGACCGAACCACUGCAUUCGCCCAGGGACCCGCAGGUAAUUGACCCAGCACCUGGCACGUCAGGUUCCACCUGUCCCGGGGACGGGGCCUUGCUCUGAGACACCGCACUGCUUUGGCUCCCUGGGGCCUGAGCACACGCAGGUCGGGCAGAAGGGCUUAGCACAUGAGGAGCACAUGGGCCAGGGGAAACCGGUAGCAGUGUACCUGUGGCCUACCUCUCAUCCCAGCUGACCUUGGAAAGCCUUAGUUUGCUCACGUGACAGUCACAAUGCCACUGCAUGGGAGACAGCAAUGUGUGGGCUUCUGGGACUCACAGCUACGGCUCAAGCCCUACUAAGGAGACCCUGGCUGAGCGAGGCAACCCCGGUGGGCAUUCUCUCCUUGCAGGACCAGCAUUGGGCACUUCUCCCUGGUUCUGGUCUGCACUGACCCUGGUCAGCACUGGGUGCUCCUGUUGACAGGCACUUUGCACAUGGAUCUCCACUGCCUGGGCUUUAUUUCCUCAUCAGCACCAGGGGUAGGGUGGUACCUUCUUGCCCGUUACUGUGAAGAAUAAGUAAGCUAAUGUGAUGUUCUUCAAACCCUAAUGUCCACCAAUGAGUUCCAGCCCUAUCCCUGGGGAUCUCGUUCACUCAGGAAGUCUGGGUUGGGCCUGAGGUUCUGCACUUCUAAGUCUCUGACGAUACCAGUACUCUUGUCCAGACACCUAACUAGAGGAGCAGGGGGAUAAAAAGCACCUGGCACAUAACAGAUGAUCAGAAAUCAUUGGUAAUCAUUAUUCUCAAUUAUCAUCAUCAAAUUCAUAUGUGAGUCUCUCCGAUUUGUGGUUUAAUCACCACACAACAAUGAAAUGUUAUUAAAUUAGAGGGGCUGACUUUACUUUAAACUUGACUUCAGCAAUUGACUUGGCCCAGUAAUUGACUCUGCCCAUAGUAUGAUUGAGAUUAUAUAUUUAUAUCUCCACAGUUUUAAAAACCAGAGAGAACGAUCUGGAAAUCUUCUUGAAUUUGUGGCAUUUAAUUCUCUUGCCCUUGUAGUAGAUGGAGAAGCUCUGAAUAGUUGGAUUGCAGGAAAUAUCCUUAGCCGCACACAGUGAGAUACAUUAUUGCCAAGAGUGCUACUCACCAGCCUCAUCCAGUAAUAAAAUAUUAUGCCUUGUCUGUUACCAGUUCUAUGUGUAGACCAAAUUUCCUGAGAAUAGUUGUCAGGCUUGGAAAUGAAGAAGACAUUUCUCCAUUUUUCUCUCCAUAUGAUAUAGUUUUGUACGUUUGACAUUUUUUUUUAUUUUAAAAUUUAAAAAAAAAUAUUAUUAUUUCAGAUCUUUGACUACUUUUGACUUUCUGCAAACUUAAGCAUCUUUGUAAAAUAGAGGACAUUUCAUUAGAGGCCAAGAGCUUCCUUGGACAUUCUUACACAUGGUGAAGUACACAGGGACAUUGUUUUUCCCAGGGUCUGAUGAUUCUUUGGCAGUAAAUUGUGCAUUCAGGUAUCUAGCUUCUUCAUUGUGCUGGGAGUUCAACUCUUCUGGGUCUUUGACAUUUUGGUUUAAUAUAUGAAAGAGGUAAUGUAAUUCCACAAGUAGAAUCAACCCAGAGUGGAUAUAAUGUAGAAUAAUGUAAAAGUCAUAUUUUGGGUAUAUUUUUUUUCCCAACCACACAGGGACCUUAAAAAAGAUAAUUAAAUUCAUGCUAAAACCAGAGGCUGUGUGUCCAUUUUUCCAGGGAAAACUUGUGCUGUCCUCUAUCUGUGACCCAGACCUUCUGACCUGAAAGGUCUACCUAGGCAUGUAUGGCCCAGUCUCAUGUUUAAAUCAAGGACUCGGGCAUCAAGGGGUUAAAUAAACCUGAUACGUCAUGUGGCCGUUAGAUCAAGUGUCCCUGUAGAGGGAUGCCUGGUUCACAUUAAACUUCUAGAAAUAGACUUCUCUCCUUGGUGCAUGAGAUCAUUUUCAAGCCAGGCUUUGAAUUAUUUUGUGAGCUUGAUGGUGCUGGAGGUUGAAUUUCACCUUUGCCCUGUCAUCUUCUGAGUCCUCUGGGACAAAACAGUGAGGCCCUCUCCUGAUCUUCAGCUGAGUGACCGCUUUCCCUUGAAGUGUCCACAGACCUGAUGCUGUUAGUGGCCGCUCUUGCAGUUCUAAAGCCCCUGUUAUCCCCGAGUGCACAGACCCCAACGCACCACAGGUCAUCAUCUGAAGACCUUCUGAGAACCGUGACUGCCAACAGGGGUCCUCAGAGGUGGAGGCCACAGCUCAGCCUCAGAAGUUGUUUUCACCUAUGGGUUUCCAGCUGAAAACAAGAAGACUGCUAAGGGGAAAAGAUCCCCUCCACUAAGAUGUGUCAGGCUGUCUUCCCAAGCUCCGUCUCAGAGUGGAGGACAGAAGGCCAUCACAGCGGAUCUGGUCCAGAGGCCCGAUUUCCAGUCAGUGCUCCUGGGUGGUAUUCCACACGAGCCAGGAGGAUCAAAGGCGCACUUGAUGUUGGAGACAGUGUGGUUCCCCAUGGAUGGGGAAGUCUUUGAUGUCCCCUGGAAACAGGAAAGCGCCAGUUGUGGUGAGCACAGGAGUCAGAGGCUGUGUGUCCACUUCUCAGGGACUCCCCCGCUCUGUCCACACCUAGGACCACCUUUGAAAGUCACGCUGUCUUUGAGGCUGGCUUGCAGUGGGAACUGGACUUGGUCCCAAGCAGCUGUGUUCUGAAUCACCUAUGUCCCUGGCUCAUCUCUGCCUUUCCAUCUCAUGUGGAAUUGUGUGCUCGUCUCCCGUCCCCAUCCUUGGCAAGACCCAGCUGCCUGCAGAGAAAAAUUGGUUCCCGAGAACAGAGCUGUGAGGUCAUAAUGGUUGACACCACGUGAUCUUUAGGCCUUUGCCGUCUGUGCUGGUGUGAAACACACACAUGCACACACACACUGUGAUGGGGGAGUGACCCCAAAACACACACUGAACUGCCCUUUUAUUUAAAUAAUAAAUCAUUGAUAUUAACUCUUGGACUUGGAUACACCUACUUCUAAUUAUAGGAGCUGGAAUUUGAGAGAAAAAAGCCCUUCUUCCUAGGAUCAGGGUCCACAUUUCCCCUCAGCUCCUCUGCUGGGAGCUGGCCAGGAGACAGAGGCCAAGCUCCCCGCCGCCUUGCC
rnacentral:lncRNA from 1 species